UACGGAGGGUGCAAGCGUUAUCCGGAUUCACUGGGUUUAAAGGGUGCGUAGGUGGGAAUGUAAGUCAGUGGUGAAAUCUCCGUGCUUAACAUGGAAACUGCCAUUGAUACUAUGUUUCUUGAAUCUUCCGGAGGUCAGCGGAAUAUGUCAUGUAGCGGUGAAAUGCUUAGAUAUGACAUAGAACACCAAUUGCGAAGGCAGCUGACUACAGGGGCAUUGACACUGAGGCACGAAAGCUAGGGGAGCAAACGGG
rnacentral:rRNA from 1 species